UUUCCCGGUUGAUCCUGCCGGGACCUGACUGCUAUCGGAUUGAUACUAAGCCAUGCGAGUCAUUGUAGUAAUACAAGGCAGACGGCUCAGUAACGCGUAGUCAACCUACCCUAUGGACGGGGAUAACCUCGGGAAACUGAGAAUAAUACCCGAUAGAACAUUAUACCUGGAAUGGUUUAUGUUUCAAAUAAUUUAUUGCCGUAGGAUGGGACUGCGGCCUAUCAGUUUGUUGGUGAGGUAAUGGCCCACCAAGACUAUUACAGGUACGGGCUCUGAGAGGAGUAGCCCGGAGAUGGGUACUGAGACACGGACCCAGGCCCUAUGGGGCGCAGCAGGCGAGAAAACUUUGCAAUGUGCGAAAGCACGACAAGGUUAAUCCGAGUGGUUUCUGCUAAAGGAACCUUUUGUCAGUCCUAGAAACACUGGUGAAUAAGGGGUGGGCAAGUUCUGGUGUCAGCCGCCGCGGUAAAACCAGCACCUCAAGUGGUCAGGAUGAUUAUUGGGCCUAAAGCAUCCGUAGCCUGCUUUGUUAGUUUUCGGUUAAAUCCAUACGCUUAACGUAUGGGCUGCCGGGAAUACUGCAAAGCUAGGGAGUGGGAGAGGUAGACGGUACUCGGUAGGAAGGGGUAAAAUCCUUUGAUCUAUUGAUGACCACCUGUGGCGAAGGCGGUCUACCAGAACACGUCCGACGGUGAGGGAUGAAAGCUGGGGGAGCAAACCGGAUUAGAUACCCGGGUAGUCCCAGCUGUAAACUAUGCAAACUCGGUGACGCAUUGGCUUGAUGCCAAUGCAGUGCCGCAGGGAAGCCGUUAAGUUUGCCGCCUGGGAAGUACGUACGCAAGUAUGAAACUUAAAGGAAUUGGCGGGGGAGCACCACAAGGGGUGAAGCCUGCGGUUCAAUUGGAUUCAACGCCGGA
rnacentral:rRNA from 1 species